rnacentral:rRNA from 1 species
GGGCCCGCACAAGCAGUGGAGUAUGUGGUUUAAUUCGACGCAACGCGAAGAACCUUACCAGGUCUUGACAUCCAACUAACGAGGCAGAGAUGCGUCAGGUGCCCUUCGGGGAAAGUUGAGACAGGUGGUGCAUGGUUGUCGUCAGCUCGUGUCGUGAGAUGUUGGGUUAAGUCCCGCAACGAGCGCAACCCUUGUCAUUAGUUGCUACGCAAGAGCACUCUAAUGAGACUGCCGUUGACAAAACGGAGGAAGGUGGGGACGACGUCAAAUCAUCAUGCCCUUUAUGACCUGGGCUACACACGUACUACAAUGGCCGUUAACAACGGGAAGCGAAGGCGCGAGCCGGAGCAAAUCCCCAAAAACGGUCUCAGUUCAGAUUGCAGGCUGCAACCCGCCUGCAUGAAGUCGGAAUUGCUAGUAAUCGCAGAUCAGCAUGCUG